GACGGGGCCCGCACAAGCGGUGGAGCAUGUGGUUUAAUUCGAAGCAACGCGAAGAACCUUACCAGGCCUUGACAUGCAGAGAACUUUCCAGAGAUGGAUUGGUGCCUUCGGGAACUCUGACACAGGUGCUGCAUGGUUGUCGUCAGCUCGUGCCGUGAGGUGUCGGGUUAAGUCCCAUAACGAGCGCAACCCCUAUCAUUAGUUGCCAUCAGGUCAAGCUGGGGACUCUAAUGAAACUGCCUACGCAAGUAGUGAGGAAGGCGGGGAUGACGUCAAAUCAGCACGGCCCUUACGUCCAGGGCUACACACGUGCUACAAUGGCCGAUACAGAGGGCAGCUACCUGGUGACAGGAUGCAAAUCUCCAAAGUCGGUCUCAGUUCGGAUCGGAGUCUGCAACCCGACUCCGUGAAGUUGGAUUCGCUAGUAAUCGCGCAUCAGCCAUGGCGCGGUGAAUACGUUCCCGGGCCUU
rnacentral:rRNA from 1 species